GGUGGUGGUGCAUGGCCGUUCUUAGUUGGUGGAGUGAUUUGUCUGGUUAAUUCCGUUAACGAACGAGACCCCCGCCUGCUAAAUAGUGUGGCUUACGCUUUUGCGUAGGUGCUCGCUUCUUAGAGGGACUUUCGGUGACUAACCGAAGGAAGUUGGGGGCAAUAACAGGUCUGUGAUGCCCUUAGAUGUCCUGGGCCGCACGCGCGCUACACUGAUGCAUGCAACGAGUUUUACUUUUCCUGGGUCGAGAGGCCCGGGUAAUCUGUUGAACGUGCAUCGUGAUAGGGAUAGAUCAUUGCAAUUAUUGAUCUUGAACGAGGAAUUCCUAGUAAACGCGAGUCAUCAGCUCGCAUUGAUUACGUCCCUGCCCUUUGUACACACCGCCCGUCGCACCUACCGAUUGAAUGUUUCGGUGAAGAUUCCGGACUGUGGCUCGCCGGCUUCACGGCGCUCUUGCCGUGGGAAGUUAUCUAAACCUCAACAUUUAGAGGAAGGUGAAGUCGUAACAAGGUUU
rnacentral:rRNA from 1 species